rnacentral:rRNA from 1 species
UACGGGGGGGGGCAAGCGUUGUUCGGAAUUACUGGGCGUAAAGGGCUCGUAGGCGGCCAAUUAAGUCAGACGUGAAAUCCCCAGGCUCAACCUGGGAACUGCGUCUGAUACUGGAUGGCUUGAAUUCGGGAGAGGGAUGCAGAAUUCCAGGUGUAGCGGUGAAAUGCGUAGAUAUCUGGAGGAAUACCGGUGGCGAAGGCGGCAUCCUGGACCGACAUUGACGCUGAGGAGCGAAAGCUAGGGGAGCAAACGGG